UCCCCAAAGCUCUGCAGUAAAAGCUCAUCUUGGGAUGAACUGCUAUGAUAAUCAAAUUCUUUUCCAAGUCACUGCUUUACCAAACAAUUUCCCUUUCUAGAUGUGCAACCUAUGUAUGUUGAUCACAAGUCUGACCUUCAAAUUCUCAGGAUUUCCUAAAAAAUUAACAACAGCUGUUCAAAAUGCUCUUCUGAAAGUCCUUCGAAGGUUCUUGUAUGGAAGUUAGUCCAGAUGACAGAUUUCAAAAUCUUUACUUUGCCACAGCCCCAGUGAUUUCUUUGGUAUGUAAACACAUAUCUUAUCAGAGAUGCUGAAGUUUCAAAACCAAGUUUUUUGACUCUCACCAUGCUUAUACCAGCCUGACAAAAUCUAAGUUUGGAAACAAAUCAAGACAUCAUACUUCAGGAAAACAAAGCAUCAGUACAAUAGCAAAGGUGACACCACAGUUCACCGGUCUGAGUUCUGACCCACAGAGCUGUGCUCAUUAAAUCCCUAAAUCUUACUUUUCCAUGAGUAGGCUCCAGUUGUGGAGGUCUGCAGGCCACAGUGGCCAACUGCUCAGCACUAUCAGUAACAAUUAAGCCCAUCUUACUCUCACAAACACACAAACUUAUUAUAUUAACAACAUUUUUUUCCCAGAAAAACUGAAUGCAUACAUAUAUUUCCUUCACUAGUAACACCUAUGUGUUCAUUUAGAAGCAAACUUAGAAAGAAAGCUAUUUUUAGAAAACAAAUCAACCACUGAGCUAAGCAGCAGACUGCAAGACUAUACUGCUCUUAUCAAUUCUCAUCAACAGUUAGACCCUUAAUGAAUGUUUAUAUCCUAGCCUGAAAGCAUUUCACCUCUGCCCAGAGGAUAAUGUUUUAUAAACAAGGCACUGCUUCUAUUGCUAAUAUCCCUCAGCCUUUAAGUAGCCCUGGAUCCUGCUUCAGCAACACACAGCACUGGAAUUGCCUACACUUGAAUCUCACCCCACUUACAUCUGCCUACCUCUGAACAUUUUACCCUACACAUGUUGCACAAGUUGUCUCAUUUGCCUUACUUGUACGUUAGAAAACAAGCACAACUCUAAAAUACUCCCCUAUUCUGGCCAGAACUCAACUGCUAUGAACUCACAAUGGGAAACGGCAGUUUCUUACCAAACUUGUGAGCUGGAGCUCCGUUGGAAAGGGCAGUGAAACCAACAUUUCAAACCAACAUCUCUUGUUCUUCUCCAUUUCAACUAAGUGUUCAUUGAAAGGCAUCUUUUUAAGUAAACACUUGGUGGAAGUGUAUCACAAGACUGAAAGCUCCUAAUUGUAGCCCUGGAAGAACAGUCUGAGAAAAUCA